UGGGGAAUAUUGCACAAUGGGCGCAAGCCUGAUGCAGCAACGCCGCGUGAGUGAUGAAGGUCUUCGGGUUGUAAAGCUCUGUCUUUUGGGACGAUAAUGACGGUACCAAAGGAGGAAGCCACGGCUAACUACGUGCCAGCAGCCGCGGUAAUACGUAGGUGGCAAGCGUUGUCCGGAUUUACUGGGCGUAAAGGAUGCGUAGGCGGAUUUUUAAGUGAGAUGUGAAAACCCUAAGCUUAACUUGGGGACUGCAUUUCAUACUGGAAAUCUAGAGUGCGGGAGAGGAGAAUGGAAUUCCUAGUGUAGCGGUGAAAAUGCGUAGAGAUUAGGAAGAACACCAGUGGCGAAGGCGAUUCUCUGGACCGUAACUGACGCUGAGGCAUGAAAGCGUGGGUAGCAAACAGGAUUAGAUACCCUGGUAGUCCACGCCGUAAACGAUGAGUACUAGGUGUAGGAGGUAUCGACCCCUUCUGUGCCGCAGUUAACACAAUAAGUACUCCGCCUGGGAAGUACGAUCGCAAGAUU
rnacentral:rRNA from 1 species